UUUUAUGAGAGUUUGAUCCUGGCUCAGGACGAACGCUGGCGGCGUGCCUAAUACAUGCAAGUCGAACGCUUCUUUUUCCACCGGAGCUUGCUCCACCGGAAAAAGAAGAGUGGCGAACGGGUGAGUAACACGUGGGUAACCUGCCCAUCAGAAGGGGAUAACACUUGGAAACAGGUGCUAAUACCGUAUAACAAAC
rnacentral:rRNA from 1 species